UGGAGAACCACAAUCUGUUCCAGUGAGACUGUUGCUUCCAUGCAUAAGAAAGGAAGAACAUGACCUUUGUCAGACCUGAAACCAAAGACUGUCCAGGAUUUUCAGGUCAUUUAGGAAGAAGACUGGCUUUUAACCAGAGGCAGUCAUGUCUAGCAUCCUGCAGGAGUUGAAAACCUACUGUAGCCUUAAGUUGUUCUGAGGACACAAAGUCCUCAUCCAGAAUCAGAAGUCAUGGCUUGCAUUACAAGAGUACAGGAGAACUGGCAAGAAACACAGAGCCCAUGAGAACAAACUAGCAGCACAAUGGAUUUGUAAUAUUUAAUCAAAUUCUUGAUGAUCACAAAUCUUGCAACACAUUCCAAAACUACUAAAAACGCUAUACAGAAACCA